rnacentral:sRNA from 1 species
UGCAACUUUGCAACGAAAGAAGUCAGAUG